ACUCAACACUAACAAAUUAAAAUGGGUGAAUCAUCGCUACUAAAGCAAGCUGCCUUUGAGCAGAUCCUUGAACAGCGGGUUAGCCCAAAACUUGUCUUUACGAGUUU
rnacentral:sRNA from 1 species